GAGACAGACGCUAGAAUUUGGAGAAGUAAAAAUGGCUGAAAAUGAUGGAGCAGCCUUCUGAAGCGAGACAGUGCACAGAGACCGCCAAAAAUAUGCACUUUGUUCUGAGAGGAAAUGACUGAAGAUUAAAGAAAGAAUCAUUAGAAAUAAGUAGACAAAAUAUUCCCUAGAGCUGGGAAUAGUUUAUAAUCCCUAUAGUUUAGAAGAGAGACCUCGGUUACAUGGGGCAUUGGGGAAACUCCUCAGGAGGACUUUGUGUGGUAGGCAGACUCUCUCCCUCCUGGAGAAAUGUGAUCUUCACACCCUAAUCCUUUGUAUUGGUUGUGUUACAUGGCAGAAGGACAUUACAAGUGAAACCUACAUUAUAGACCUUAAAAUAGAGGAAACUUCCCCGAUGACUGAGCAAGUGAAAAAUCUGAUUGCAAUGCAGGAGAUACAAGUUCAGUCUCUGGGUUGGGAAGAUUCUCUGGAAUAGGAAAUGGCAACACAUUACAGUAUUCUUGCCUGAAAAAUCUCAUGGACAGAGUCAUAGAGUCAGACACAACUGAGCCGCUGAACAGACAGAGAUACAUAUAAUAGAUUCAUUGAGAGGACUUUUAACAGACAUUUAAUUAUUAUAUAGUGAAAUAUACAAACAAUUAAUUAAUUAAGAAAAUGACAUUAGCCUAACCAUAAAAUAGAGAGGUUAUCCUGGAUUAUCUAGUUGCACCAGAUGUAAUCCCUUGUUCAUAAAAAUGGAAAAGGAGGGUAGAACAAUCAGUCAAAGAAAUGUGGCAGCAGAGGGAAAAAGCAGGAGAGAUAGGAAGCAUGUGUUGCUUUGACUUAUUCUUGUUGGCCUUGAAGAUGAAGCCAGGGGUUCAUGCAAGAGUCCAGGAAUGAAGGUAGUUUCCAAAAGCUGAAAACUAUUCUCAAGUGGCAGGAAGCAAGUAAAUCAUAAUCGUAGUCCUACAACCUUAAGGAACUGAAUUCUGCCAAUAAAAUGAAUGAACAAGAAAUAGUUUCUCUCUGGUAUGUUUCUGUCGGCAUUUAAUAAUAUCUCCAAGUGGCUCUUAUUUGAAGAUUAUUGUCUUGAUCCAUGCAUUUUGACAGUAUAUUUUAAGCAAUUUUGCCCCCAACUGAAAAACAUGCAGUAAGAAAAUGCUGUAGUUAUCAGGAAGUUCCGUGUCCAAGGUAAGCAAGCCAUAAUCAGAACAAAGCGCAAAUCUUAAAACUAAAAGUCACACACAAAAGAUUAGUAUAUAUCUAUGGUAAACUGAUGCAGAGAACUCAGAAGUUAGCCAUCAAGGGUUGCUACUGCUAUGUCACUUCAUCAGACACGACUGAAACAACUUAGCAGCAUACCCUGUAGUAGAAUUGCUGGGUCAAAUUAUAUGGCUGCUGCUGCUGCUGCUGCUGCUGCUGCUGCUGCUGCUGCUGCUGCUGCUGCUGCUAAGUCACUUCAGUUAAGUGGUUAAUAUGCCAACAUUUAUAAAUAACCAAUACAACUCAACAUUGAUAAAAUCAAGCAACUGUUAAAAAAUGGGAAGAAGAACUGAAUAGUCAUUUUGUCAAAGAGGAAAUGUGAAUGGCCAUUAGGCACAUGGAAAGAUAUUCAACAUCCUUCAUCAUCAGGGGAAUGCAAAUCAAAACUACAAUGAAAUAUCACCUCACACCAGUCAGAAUGGCUGUCAUCUUAAAGAACACAGAUAAUGAAUGUUGGUGAGGAUAUGGAGAAAAGGGAAACUUCGUACAUUGGCAUGUCACUCAGAAUAUAGAUUGGUGCAGCCACUGUUAUAAACAGUAAGAAAGUUUCUUAGGAAACCAAAAAUGAAUUUUACCAGAUUAUUAUUCUUAGAAGUGCUUCUCUAAAAUGCCAAAGUCACCACUCAUCUCUCUAGCCAUCUAAAUCAAAGAGGAAUAGUUCUGUGCUGUAUAAGAAUAAAAAGAAAAGCUAAUUCAUUUGUAUUUUUCCACACAUUCACAGAUAAUACUAUAUAUACACAGUUAAAACUUAGCAAAAUAUGUGACAUCCAAAAAUAUAAUCUUAUAAAAAAUUCUGGCUCACUGAAGAGAUUAAUAAAAGCCACAUCUUUAAAGUCAGUCUAACUAGUUACAAAAGCACAAAUAUCAAAUCAUUAACUUUAUAUUAUGUUCAGCAGAUCAUAUGUUGAACUAAAGAAGUGUCAAAUAACCACUAGGCACUCACUUCCUCCUACUUCCACAACAAGAACAUUAGCACCAUGUCAGCAUUCUUUUGAGAAAUUGAAGUUUACAGAGGAAGGAAUUAAAGGCCCGUUCUAGAGUAAUCAGUGUGCGCGUGCGCACGCACACACACACACACACACACACACACACACACACACAACCCACAACGCAUAUUACAUAGCCGAAAUUAGGUACAGGCAGGGGAUUAUGGAUAUUUAGUGUUUAUUAUCAUAGUGGUCCUUCUUUUCUUUAUAAAAUCAGUUUUGAGAUUCCAAGGUUUAUAAAUGAAGCUUUCAGUCUUCAUCUACAGAAAUCAUUUAUGCAAGCAUUCAUUAGCACCUGUGCUCAAUUGCUAGAUAACAAUUUACUUUUGAAAAGUUUGAAAAAUUAUAUAAUAUUCAGGUAGUAUGAAAAGAUGACAAAGUAGAGAAACAUGAUAAAAAGAACAAUGACUAAAGCUUUAGGCCAUUCCAGGCUUGGUCACUUAACUGUCUUUUGGAAUGUGAUAUUUAAUUUAGAGUCUUCUCUGCAUUUCUUCCUCUGUUCAAUGGACAAAUGUGUAUUUAACCUGAGGGACUUUGUUAAUAUUAACUGUAAAAUAUGUAAGACUUGUAGCACACAUUCCCUCAGCAUUGGCAUUUAACAUAUGAGAUCACAUAUUGCUAUUAAUGAACUUUCUAAAAAACAAAUACAUAAAACUGAUAUGUAAAAUUUUGAAAGCAUAAGGAUAUUCAGUUGCCUAGCUGUGAAAAUUGAUAGCCACUGAAGUAAUUUUAAAUAGUUAUUUCAAGUGUGAUUUUUUUAAAUCCAGGUGAAAGUAUAAUCUUUAUUAGAGAAAUGCUAAUUGAAUUUUUUUAAAUAUAGAAAAAUGCUUUUAGUAAAGAAAGGACUACUACUCAACAUUCCAAAGUACAAUUUAAAAUUGAGGAUGUACGCCAAUUUCUUCAGAGUCACUGCUCCUCAUCUCCAUUACUCAAUCCGUCUCUUAAUCCUCCUAGCCAAUUUAUUAGCUACUUCAUGAAUCAAACACCUUUUAACUUUCUCUGUUUUACACAUCUUAUCCAGCUUCAUAUUUUGCUUUUAAUUUAAAAACUAGGUCAGUGAAAUGGCUUAUUUUGAUCUGUCUGAAAAGAAAAGAAAAAUAUUCUUCAGUUCACCACUUUACUCUAUAAAAAAGUAUAAAAAGAAAAAAAAAAGAAAAUAUUGGAUUUAAUCCCUGUCAUUUGCAUGAACUGAAUCUGUGGUGGGAAAGAAAGAUAUUAAUGCUUCUACUGAACAUUGUUUUUACCUUAAAAACUUGGAGAAAUUAGUACUGAAUUUGUUGAGAUUACUAUUAGUGCCCUUCUUGCUUCUGUAGUUCCCAUGGUUACACCUUCUGGUUAGUACACCAGGAUUCUAGAAAAGGACAGAAUUCCACAAACAAUGGUUUGCGGAACUCCCCCAACCUCGUUCAUUACUUUGCAAUAUCUUGGGUGGUAUAAAGCUGUAUAUUCUGUGAUAUGUGGUUUUAUGAUGACUUUGUUAAGAUUGAUGAAGCUAAUGUAAAUGUUAUAAAAUUAAUAGCAACUUCUAAAUACUCUUGCAAGGAAAUUUUAAAGAUAUACUAAGGCAAGUAAAAAAAGUAAAAAUGAAAUUUUCUCCUUGUUUUACUACCCUUUUCAUCAGCUACAUUAUCAUACUUAAAAAAAAAAUCUCACAAAGACCAGUCCCAUAUGUAUAUACACACACCUAUACAUACACCUCCAGUAGCAUAGUGGGCACGUGCCGACCUGGUGAGUUCAUCUUUCAGCGUCAUAUAUUUUUGUCUUUUCAUACUGUUCAUGAGAUUUUCAAGGUAAGAAUGCUGAAGUGGUUUGUCUUUCCCUUCUCUAGUAGACCAUGUUUUGUCAGAACUCUUCACCAUGAUCCUUCCAUCUUGGGUGGCCCUACAUGGCAUGGCUCAUAGGUUCAUUGAGUUAGACAAGGCAGUGGUCCAUGUGAUUAGUUUUCUGUAAUUGAGCUUUUCAUUCUGUCUGCUUUCUGAGGGAUAAGGACAAGAGGCUUGUGGAAGCUUCCUGAUGGGAGGGACUGGCUGUGAGGAAAACUGGGUCUUGCUCUGGUGGGCAAGGCCAUACUCAGUACAUUUUUAAUCCAGUUUUCUGCUGAUGGGGUCACUGCUCCUUUCUCCUGGGUCCUGGUGUGCCUAAGGUUUUCUUGUGCCCUCCAAGAGUCUGUUUCCCUAGUCCUGUGGAAGUUCUGUAAUUAUAUACCACUGGCCAUCCUACUGAAAAACUGAAUGCAAGUCAAGAAGCAACAGUUAGAACCAGACAUGGAACAAAGGACUGGUUCCAAAUUGGGAAAGGGAUAUGCCGAGGCGGUAUAAUGUCAACCUACUUAUUAUAUGCAGUGUACAUCAUGUGACAUGCUGGGCUGGAUGAAUCACAAGCUGGAAUCAAGAUUGCCUGGAUAAAUGUCAAUAACCUCAGAUAUGCAGAUGACACCAACCUUUUGGCAGAAAAUGAAGAGGAACUAAAGAGCCUCUUGAUGAAAGUGAAAGAGGAGAGUGAAAAAGCUGGCUUAAAACUCAGCAUUCAAACAACUAAGAUCAUGGCAUCCAGUCCCAUCGUUUCAUGGCAAAUAGAUGGGGAAACCAUGGAAACUGUGAGAGACUUUAUUUUCUUGGGCUCUAAAAUCACUGUAGAUGGUGAUUGCAGUCAUGAAAGUAAAAGAUGCUUGCUCCUUGGAAGAAAAGCAAUGACAAAUCUAGACAGUGUAUUUAGAGCAUUACUUUGCUGACAAGGGUCCAUAUAGUCAAAGCUAUAGUGUUUUCAAAAGUUAUGUGUGGAUGUGAGAGUGGUAUCAUAAAGAAAGGUGAGUGCUGAAGAACUGAUGCUUUUGAACUGUGGUGUUGGAGAAGUCUCUUGACAGUCCUUUGAACUGCAAGGAGAUCAAACCAGUCAAUCCUAAAGGAAAAAUAUCCUGAAUAUUCAUUGGAGGGACUGAUGCUGAAGCUGAAGCUCAAAUACUUUGGCCACCUGAGGCAAAGAGCUGACUUAUUAGAAAAGACCAUGAUGCUGGGAAGGAUUGAAGGCAGGAGGAGAAGGGGAAAACAGAGGAUGAGAUGGUUGAAUGGCAUCACCAACUCAAUGGACAUGAGUUUGAGUAAACUCCAGGCAAUGUGAAAGACGGAAGUCUCUUGUCACAAAGAGUUGGACAUGACUGAGUGACUGAACCAUGACAAAAUACGUACACAUGUAUAUUAUAUGUAUAUGUCCAUGUUGGAUUUCGCAGGUGGUACUAGCAGUAAAGAACUUGUCGUCAAUGCAGGAGACAUGAGAGACAUGGGUUUGAUCCCUGGGUCAGGAAGAUCCCCUGGAAGAGUGCAUGGCAACCCACUCCAGUAUUCUUGCCUGGAGAAUCCCAUGGACAGAAGAACCUGGUGGGCUACAGCACAUGAGUUCAUAAAGAGUCAGACAUGAUUGAAACAACUUUGUAUGCACAAACAU
ensembl:lncRNA